AUUGGACGCUGGCGGCAGGCCUAACACAUGCAAGUCGAACGGUAACAGGAAGCAGCUUGCUGCUUUGCUGACGAGUGGCGGACGGGUGAGUAAUGUCUGGGAAACUGCCUGAUGGAGGGGGAUAACUACUGGAAACGGUAGCUAAUACCGCAUAACGUCGCAAGACCAAAGAGGGGGACCUUCGGGCCUCUUGCCAUCGGAUGUGCCCAGAUGGGAUUAGCUAGUAGGUGGGGUAACGGCUCACCUAGGCGACGAUCCCUAGCUGGUCUGAGAGGAUGACCAGCCACACUGGAACUGAGACACGGUCCAGACUCCUACGGGAGGCAGCAGUGGGGAAUAUUGCACAAUGGGCGCAAGCCUGAUGCAGCCAUGCCGCGUGUAUGAAGAAGGCCUUCGGGUUGUAAAGUACUUUCAGCGGGGAGGAAGGGAGUAAAGUUAAUACCUUUGCUCAUUGACGUUACCCGCAGAAGAAGCACCGGCUAACUCCGUG
rnacentral:rRNA from 1 species